GGGUAAAGAGCAAAAUUAUCCCUCCUGCCUUAUUUCAUAACUUUUUUUGAAAAAAUAGUUACUAUUCAAUAAAAUAUGACGAACUCAUAUAUUUAAUCAAAAGAAAAACUUUGAAAAAGCUAUGAAGUCCCUAAUUAAUCACUUAUAUCUAUAAGAGAAUACUCUCUUGAUUACAAUGGAAUAUCAUGAACUGAUUCUGACA
rnacentral:lncRNA from 1 species